GUUGAACGCUGGCGGCAUGCUUUACACAUGCAAGUCGAACGGUAACAGGGAGCUUGCUCCGCUGACGAGUGGCGAACGGGUGAGUAAUAUAUCGGAACGUACCCAAGAGUGGGGGAUAACGUAGCGAAAGUUACGCUAAUACCGCAUACGAUCCAAGGAUGAAAGCAGGGGACCUUCGGGCCUUGUGCUCCUGGAGCGGCCGAUAUCUGAUUAGCUAGUUGGUGAGGUAAAGGCUCACCAAGGCGACGAUCAGUAGCUGGUCUGAGAGGACGACCAGCCACACUGGAACUGAGACACGGUCCAG
rnacentral:rRNA from 1 species